AUGGCGGCUCUUGCCCAAGCUCCUAGCCCAGCAGAAUCCAUCGAUCCACCGACCAGAGACCAUCGCCAAAGUGUGACAGCCGCUGACGGGACUGGAAGAGGAAUGGUGUAUAACUUGGCUUAUUUGGAGCUCCCUAAAUGCGCGUCUUGGAGCCUUCCUGGUGGGUUGUGUGUGCUGCAUGAGCUGGAAGAGUUGGGCUCUUUCUCGUCUGACAAGACUUCCGAGAUUUCUAAGCCUGGCCGUAGUGAUGAAGAGUUUAUUAUGGUGGGCUCAACGUUUCGCAUGGAUGCACACAAUUUGGUCAAAACGGGUUGUGGCUCAGCUAAAUCUGACCUCAGUGUUGGGUUGAUUCUCUACACCUUGGUCACACGCGAUCACAAAAUUAUAAAUAAUGCACCCCUUGGUAAGCCUCACAGUUCUGAAUGCUCAAGGAGACUUGAAGUAUACACUAAUGAUGUAAGCGUAACCGAUAGACAAAAAGGAGAAAAACAUGACGGGAAUACAUUGAAGAGUACUGACGCUCGACUUGCCUUGAAGCGGAAGUCAUGCAAGAAUGACCUUGUGUCCAAAGGAAAUCAUGCACAUCCUGAUAAUGGUUUUGUUACUGAUUCAUCGGGUGAAACUAGUCUCAGCUUGAAUGCUGCAACUGAAACUCCAAUGCAUUAUCGGCCAGAGGGAGGACUCGUCCACAGCGGAGCACCUAGCCACCCUGCAGCUGCACAGGAAUCAGGCACAACACCACUGACCAAGACGCCCGGGGCCGCCUGGCUGGUUGCAUCUUCUGCCGCGAAUCACAUGACCGGCGACCUGAGCCAGCUGACGGAUUGCAUGCCCGCACCGGCCGAUCUCGUCGUCCAGGUUCCGAGCAUGGGACCAAGGCAAGUCCAAGACAUUGGGUCACUGAACACUCGGACAAUGUGUCUCCAGAAUGUGUACUACGUCCCUGGGCUCGACAAGAACCUGGUCUCCAGCAGCCAGCUCGCCAAACUUGGCUACACCAUCACCCUCGGUCCUUCGGAGUGCCGCGUCACCAAGAAUGAUCAGGGCCACACCCUUGUGGGGAAAGCUCAUUUCACCGAUGAUUACCUGUUCGAGCUGGACUUCCUCAGGGUUCCUCCCUCCACCAACUGA
rnacentral:rRNA from 1 species